CCUACGGGAGGCAGCAGUGGGGAAUAUUGCACAAUGGGGGAAACCCUGAUGCAGCGACGCCGCGUGAGUGAAGAAGUAAUUCGUUAUGUACAGCUCUAUCAGCAGGGAAGAAAAUGACGGUACCUGAGUAAGAAGCCCCGGCUAACUACGUGACAGAAGCCGCGGUCAUACGUAGGGGGCAAGCGUUAUCCGGAUUUACUGGGUGUAAAGGGUGCGUAGACGGCAGGGCAAGUCUGGAGUGAAAGGCGGGGGCUCAACCCCCGGACUGCUCUGGAAACUGUACGGCUGGAGUGCAGGAGAGGUAAGUGGAAUUCCUAGUGUAGCGGUGAAAUGCGUAGAUAUUAGGAGGAACACCAGUGGCGAAGGCGGCUUACUGGACUGUAACUGACGUUGAGGCUCGAAAGCGUGGGGAGCGAACAGGAUUAGAUACCCCUGUAGUC
rnacentral:rRNA from 1 species